GCCUAGAUAGUUCAGUUGGUUGGAGCGUGGUGCUUCUAAUACCCAGGUUGCAGGUUUGAUCUCUGUGCGGGGCA